UACGUAGGUGGCAAGCGUUAUCCGGAUUUAUUGGGCGUAAAGGGAACGCAGGCGGUCUUUUAAGUCUGAUGUGAAAGCCUUCGGCUUAACCGGAGUAGUGCAUUGGAAACUGGGAGACUUGAGUGCAGAAGAGGAGAGUGGACUCCAUGUGUAGCGGUGAAAUGCGUAGAUAUAUGGAAGAACACCAGUGGCGAAAGCGGCUCUCUGGUCUGUAACUGACGCUGAGGUUCGGAAGCGUGGAUAGCAAACAGG
rnacentral:rRNA from 1 species